rnacentral:rRNA from 1 species
AUACGGAGGGUGCAAGCGUUAAUCGGAAUUACUGGGCGUAAAGCGUACGUAGGCGGUUCGUUAAGUUAGAUGUGAAAGCCCCGGGCUUAACCUGGGAACUGCAUUUAAAACUGGCGAACUAGAGUUGAGUAGAGGGGAGUGGAAUUUCAGGUGUAGCGGUGAAAUGCGUAGAGAUCUGAAGGAACACCAGUGGCGAAGGCGGCUCACUGGUCCGGUACUGACGCUGAGGUACGAAAGCGUGGGUAGCAAACGGGAUUAGAAACCCUUGUAGUCC